rnacentral:rRNA from 1 species
CCUACGGGAGGCAGCAGUGGGGAAUCUUGCGCAAUGGGCGAAAGCCUGACGCAGCAACGCCGCGUGCGGGAAGAAGGCCCUAGGGUUGUAAACCGCUUUCAGUAGGAACGAAAAUGACGGUACCUGCAGAAGAAGGUGCGGCCAACUACGUGCCAGCAGCCGCGGUGACACGUAGGCACCAAGCGUUGUCCGGAUUUAUUGGGCGUAAAGAGCUCGUAGGCGGUUCAGUAAGUCGGGUGUGAAAACUCUGGGCUUAACCCAGAGCCGCCACUCGAUACUGCUGUGACUUGAGUUCGGUAGGGGAGCAGGGAAUUCCUAGUGUAGCGGUGAAAUGCGCAGAUAUUAGGAGGAACACCGGUGGCGAAGGCGCUGCUCUGGGCCGAUACUGACGCUGAGGAGCGAAAGCGUGGGUAGCAAACAGGAUUAGAUACCCUGGUAGUCCACGCCGUAAACGUUGGGCACUAGGUGUGGGUUCCAACCAACGGAAUCCGCGCCGUCGCUAACGCAUUAAGUGCCCGCCUGGGGAGUACGGCGGCAACGCUAAAACUCAAAUGAAUUGACGG